rnacentral:tRNA from 2 species
GCUGCGGGUUCGAGCCCCG